UGCCAGACUCCUACGGGAGGCAGCAGUGGGGAAUAUUGCACAAUGGGGGGAACCCUGAUGCAGCGACGCCGCGUGGGCGAGGAAGUAUUUCGGUAUGUAAAGCCCUAUCGGCAGGGAAGAAGAAAUGACGGUACCUGAAUAAGAAGCACCGGCUAAAUACGUGCCAGCAGCCGCGGUAAUACGUAUGGUGCAAGCGUUAUCCGGAUUUACUGGGUGUAAAGGGGGCGCAGACGGCAGCGCAAGCCAGGAGUGAAAGCCCGGGGCCCAACCCCGGGACUGCUCUUGGAACUGCGCGGCUGGAGUGCAGGAGGGGCAGGCGGAAUUCCUGGUGUAGCGGUGAAAUGCGUAGAUAUCAGGAGGAACACCGGUGGCGAAGGCGGCCUGCUGGACUGCGACUGACGUUGAGGCCCGAAAGCGUGGGGAGCAAACAGGAUUAGAUACCCUCGUAGA
rnacentral:rRNA from 1 species